UACAGAGGGGGCAAGCGUUGUUCGGAAUUACUGGGCGUAAAGGGCGCGUAGGCGGCCUGUUAAGUCGAACGUGAAAUCCCUGGGCUCAACCCAGGAACUGCGUCCGAUACUGGCAGGCUUGAAUCCGGGAGAGGGAUGUGGAAUUCCAGGUGUAGCGGUGAAAUGCGCAGAUAUCAGGAAGAACACCUAUGGCGAAGGCAGCUCUCUGGGACGGUACUGACGCUGAGACGCGAAAAGCGUGGGGAGCGAAC
rnacentral:rRNA from 1 species